rnacentral:rRNA from 1 species
UACGGGGGGGGCAAGCGUUGUUCGGAAUUACUGGGCGUAAAGGGCUCGUAGGUGGCCAACUAAGUCAGACGUGAAAUCCCUCGACUUAACCGGGGAACUGCGUCUGAUACUGGAUGGCUUGAGUUUGGGAGAGGGAUGCGGAAUUCCCGGUGUAGCGGUGGAAUGCGUAGAGAUCGGGAAGAACAUCAGUGGCGAAGGCGGCCUGCUGGGCUGUUGCUGACGCUGAGGCGCGACAGCGUGGGGAGCAAACAGG